CCAAUAGCGUAUAUUAAAGUUGUUGCAGUUAAAAAGCUCGUAGUUGAAUUUCGGGAUCAGUACGCUGGUCGUGCCUCCGGUAUGUACUGGUGUCACUGAUUCCUCCCUUCUGAAGAACCAUCAUGCCAUUCACUUGGUGUGGUGGGGAAUCAGGACUGUUACUUUGAAAAAAUUAGAGUGUUUAAAGCAGGCUCACGCUUGAAUACAUUAGCAUGGAAUAAUGAAAUAGGACGUUGAUCCUAUUUUGUUGGUUUCUAGGAUUGACGUAAUGAUUAAUAGGGAUAGUUGGGGGCAUUAGUAUUCAAUUGUCAGAGGUGAAAUUCUUGGAUUUAUUGAAGACUAACUACUGCGAAAGCAUUUGCCAAGGAUGUUUUCAUUAAUCAAGAACGAAAGUUAGGGGAUCGAAGACGAUCAGAUACCGUCGUAGUCUUAACCAUAAACUAUGCCGACUAGGGAUCGGAUGAUGUUAAUUUUUUAAUGACUCAUUCGGCGCCUUACG
rnacentral:rRNA from 1 species